rnacentral:rRNA from 1 species
AAAAGAAACCAACAGGGAUUGCCUUAGUAGCGGCGAGUGAAGCGGCAAAAGCUCAAAUUUGAAAUCUGGCUCUUUCAGAGUCCGAGUUGUAAUUUGAAGAAGGUAUCUUUGGGUCUGGCUCUUGUCUAUGUUUCUUGGAACAGAACGUCACAGAGGGUGAGAAUCCCGUGCGAUGAGAUGAUCCAGGCCUAUGUAAAGUUCCUUCGAAGAGUCGAGUUGUUUGGGAAUGCAGCUCUAAGUGGGUGGUAAAUUCCAUCUAAAGCUAAAUAUUGGCGAGAGACCGAUAGCGAACAAGUACAGUGAUGGAAAGAUGAAAAGAACUUUGAAAAGAGAGUGAAAAAGUACGUGAAAUUGUUGAAAGGGAAGGGCUUGAGAUCAGACUUGGUAUUUUGUAUGUUACUUCUUCGGGGGUGGCCUCUACAGUUUAUCGGGCCAGCAUCAGUUUGGGCGGUAGGAGAAUUGCGUUGGAAUGUGGCACGGCUUCGGUUGUGUGUUAUAGCCUUCGUCGAUACUGCCAGCCUAGACUGAGGACUGCGGUUUAUACCUAGGAUGUUGGCAUAAUGAUCUUAAGUCGCC